rnacentral:rRNA from 1 species
GUCUACGGCCAUGCCACCCUGAACGUACCUGAUCCCGUCUGACCCUUGCAAGCUAAGCAGGGUCAGGCCUGGUUAGUACUUGGAUGGGAGACCACCUAGGAAGACCAGGUGCUGUAAGCA